UUGCUUAACAGUGUAAAUACUACAAUGAAAUAAUAUAGAGAAAAUUAGCAUAGCCCCUGCCCAAAGAUAGCAUGCAUUCUUUUUCUAGUUUUUUUUUUUUGU
rfam:Dipodomys ordii contig_47889, whole genome shotgun sequence.